rnacentral:rRNA from 1 species
AAACCAACAGGGAUUGCCCUAGUAACGGCGAGUGAAGCGGCAACAGCUCAAAUUUGAAAUCUGGCCUCGGCCCGAGUUGUAAUUUGCAGAGGAUGCUUCUGGCGCGGUGCCUUCCGAGUUCCCUGGAACGGGACGCCACAGAGGGUGAGAGCCCCGUAUGGUCGGACACCAAGCCUGUGUGAAGCUCCUUCGACGAGUCGAGUAGUUUGGGAAUGCUGCUCUAAAUGGGAGGUAAAUCUCUUCUAAAGCUAAAUACCGGCCAGAGACCGAUAGCGCACAAGUAGAGUGAUCGAAAGAUGAAAAGCACCUUGAAAAGGGGGUUAAAUAGUACGUGAAAUUGUUGAAAGGGAAGCACUUGUGACCAGACUUGGGCCGGGCGGCUCAUCAGGGGUUCUCCCCUGUGCACUCCGCCCGGCACAGGCCAGCAUCGGUUCUCGUGGGGGGAUAAGACCGUCAGGAACGUGGCACCCUCCGGGGUGUGUUAUAGCCCGGCGGACGAUACCCCCGUGGGGACCGAGGUUCGCGCUCCGCAAGGAUGCUGGCGUAAUGGUCACCAGUGAC